GGGUUGUGAGGUUAAGCGACUAAGCGUACACGGUGGAUGCCCUGGCAGUCAGAGGCGAUGAAGGGCGUGCUAAUCUGCGAUAAGCGCCGGUAAGGUGAUAUGAACCGUUAUAACCGGCGAUACCCGAAUGGGGAAACCCAGUGUGAUUCGUCACACUAUCAUUAACUGAAUCCAUAGGUUAAUGAGGCGAACCGGGGGAACUGAAACAUCUAAGUACCCCGAGGAAAAGAAAUCAACCGAGAUUCCCCCAGUAGCGGCGAGCGAACGGGGAGGAGCCCAGAGCCUGAAUCAGCAUGUGUGUUAGUGGAAGCGUCUGGAAAGGCGCGCGAUACAGGGUGACAGCCCCGUACACAAAAGCGCAUGUGCUGUGAGCUCGAUGAGUAGGGCGGGACACGUGGUAUCCUGUCUGAAUAUGGGGGGACCAUCCUCCAAGGCUAAAUACUCCUGACUGACCGAUAGUGAACCAGUACCGUGAGGGAAAGGCGAAAAGAACCCCGGCGAGGGGAGUGAAAAAGAACCUGAAACCGUGUACGUACAAGCAGUGGGAGCACAGGUUUACCUGUGUGACUGCGUACCUUUUGUAUAAUGGGUCAGCGACUUAUAUUCUGUAGCAAGGUUAACCGAAUAGGGGAGCCGGAGGGAAACCGAGUCUUAAUUGGGCGUUAAGUUGCAGGGUAUAGACCCGAAACCCGGUGAUCUAGCCAUGGGCAGGUUGAAGGUUGGGUAACACUAACUGGAGGACCGAACCGACUAAUGUUGAAAAAUUAGCGGAUGACCUGUGGCUGGGGGUGAAAGGCCAAUCAAACCGGGAGAUAGCUGGUUCUCCCCGAAAGCUAUUUAGGUAGCGCCUCGUGAAUUCAUCUCCGGGGGUAGAGCACUGUUUCGGCUAGGGGGCCAUCCCGGCUUACCAACCCGAUGCAAACUGCGAAUACCGGAGAAUGUUAUCACGGGAGACACACGGCGGGUGCUAACGUCCGUCGUGAAGAGGGAAACAACCCAGACCGCCAGCUAAGGUCCCAAAGUCAUGGUUAAGUGGGAAACGAUGUGGGAAGGCCCAGACAGCCAGGAUGUUGGCUUAGAAGCAGCCAUCAUUUAAAGAAAGCGUAAUAGCUCACUGGUCGAGUCGGCCUGCGCGGAAGAUGUAACGGGGCUAAACCAUGCACCGAAGCUGCGGCAGCGAACGUAUCACUUAAAGCGAUUCAGCGGGUUACGAUUGACGGAGCGAAGCGACGUCAAAGCGUAUACAAAGUCGAGUCGGUUUAA
rnacentral:rRNA from 1 species